AUCGCUUCUCGGCCUUUUGGCUAAGAUCAAAGUGUAGUAUCUGUUCUUAUCAGCUUAAUAUCUGAUACGGGUUCAAAUGAACCCCAGAAUAUUAAACUGAUUUUGGAGUCGGUGGGAUGUCAAUGCUUGCAUUGAUCCUGCCACAGGUUGACCAGUAUUGCAGUACCUCCGGGCUCGGCUCACCCCUU
rnacentral:snRNA from 1 species